rnacentral:rRNA from 1 species
UGUCUUUUUGAAAAUAAUAUAAAGUCUAAUCUGCCCACUGAUAAAUAUUGAAGGGCUGCAGUAUAUUGACUGUACAAAGGUAGCAUAAUCAUUAGUCAUUUAAUUGAUGACUUGUAUGAAAGAUUGGAUGAAAUAUGAACUGUCUCUUAAUUAUAAAUAGAAUUUAAUUUUUUUAUUAAAAAGUUAAAAUAAUUUAAAAAGACGAGAAGACCCUAUAGAGUUUUAUAAUUAAAAUAAUUAAUAUUAUUUGUUAAAUUAAGGUUGAAAUUAUUUUAUUUAUUGUAUUGGGGUGAUAAAAAAAUAUAUAUAACUUUUUUUAAAUAAAAACAUUUAUAAGUGAUUAAUUGAUCCAAUAUUAUUGAUUAUAAGAAAAAAUUACCUUAGGGAUAACAGCGUAAUUUUUUUUUUUAGUUCAUAUAAUAAAAAGAGUUUGCGACCUCGAUGUUGGAUUAAGAUAAAAUUUAAAUGCAGAAG